rnacentral:rRNA from 1 species
ACGGAGGGUGCAAGCGUUAUUCGGAAUCAUUGGGUGUAAAGCGCGUGUAGGCGGCUUGGAAAGUCAGAUGUGAAAGCUUCGGGCUUAACCCGGAAAGUGCAUUUGAAACUCCCAGGCUUGAGUCCCGGAGAGGAAGGUGGAAUUCCCAGUGUAGAGGUGAAAUUCGUAGAUAUUGGGAGGAACACCGGUGGCGAAGGCGACCUUCUGGACGGUGACUGACGCUGAGACGCGAAAGCGUGGGUAGCAAACAG